rnacentral:lncRNA from 1 species
GCAGAGUGCCAUAAUUUUAGUUCUUGAUUUUCUUUUUUUCUCACCUAUUUAUACUCAUUUUAUACUCACAUAUAUGUUGUCCUCAUCUAGUCUUGUGUCUUUGAAAACCCUUCAAGGCUGAUAGUUCCCAAACUGGUGUCACUAGCUCAGAAUUUUUUCUCAAAUCACAGAUUCAUCACUCCAUCUCUCUAUGAAUAUCUCCACUUGGGUGAACAGUAAAUAAUAAGAUGUCUCAAACACACACUGUCCACCUGAUAAAACCUUAGGUUUCUUUCUGCUCUUUCUAUGGAGAAUCUUUCUCAUCUCAUUGGAAGAUAACCCUGCAUUUCCAAGUUUGGGGAGAAAGACCUUGGGGUUAUUCUUGAUCUUCUCUUUCAUGCACACUCCACCAUCACAUCUUCAGGAAAUCCCUUUGGCUCUGUUUUUAAGAUAGAUUCAGACUCUAAAGUCUUCUCACUGCCUCCACCAUUACUAUGCUUCCUUUCCUACCUGGCCUCCCUGUUUCUAUUCUUGUUUUUCUACUAUCUGUUCUCAACAAUAGACAGGUUGAUUCUCAUAAAAUGUGAGUUAAUGGUUUCCCUUCUCUCCUAGAAUUCUGCCCGUGGCUGCCUAUUUCAUAAGCGCUGAGGCCAAAGUCCUUACAAGAUCUUACAUUUUCAGGCCCCUGAUUACCUAUUUGGUCUCAUUUCCUACUUAUCUCCCUCUUGUUCACUCAGUUCUAGUCAUUUUGCCUUCCUUGCUUUUCCUUGGACAUGCCAGGAAUUCUCCUAACCUGUGCACUGUCAUUUCCCUCUGAUAAGAACACUCUUCUCUUAAUUAUCAGACUCCUUCAAGUUUUAAUUCAAAUGGCAACUUUCCAAAGAGGCCUAUGCUGGGCACCCUAUUUAAGAUUGCUGCCAGUCUUUCCUCUGUUCCAGCUCUCCCAACCCCUUACCUUGCUCCAUUUUUUUUUGCCUUGCACUUAUAAUCUUGUAAUACUCUCUAUAAUUUACCUAUUUAUUAUGCUUUUGUUUUUUGACAGCCCCCACUUCACCCCACUGCCACUAGAAUCUAACUUCCACAAGGGCAGAAAGUUUAGUCUGUUUUGUUCACUGAUGUAUUCAAGAACCUAAGAAAGUGCCUGGCACAAGAUACAUGCAUGAUACAUAUUUAUUAUGUGAGUAAAUAAAUGAAUCUUCCACUUGAGAAAGUCAAAAUCAUCAUCAAAGAUACUAGAAAUUCCCAUUUCUAAUCACUACAAAUUAGUGACUUUCAUCUUGUUUAUACGAAAAAACAAUCAUUUAUCAUCUAACAGAUCAUGGAAAGAUUCACAAAACAACAAAAUAUGUAGUCUGGCACUAAACUAGUAAACAGCCAGUGUUAUUUUUCCAAUGAACAUCAGAGGACCUUUACCAAAAAUAGAAGGUCUUUGAUGCUGAGAUAUAAAUAAAAGCCAACACUCCAGCUUAAUUAGAUUUCGCAAUUCAGAAUAUGAACAAAUCAAGUCUUUGUAACUAUUUUCGAUGCUUAUUAAAAUACAUUAUUCAUAUUAACAUCAUAAAUCAUACUUGGAAUGUAUUCUUGAUUUGCUUUAUUAGUCCUGUGGUUGCAUAAAUGUAACUAUUGAUUGCUUUUAUAUUAUCUGAAAAUUGCUUAAACUUGUAGCUUCUAAGCUAAUGUUUCUCAAAAUGUGUUCUAAGAAACACAUUUUGGACUCCACGUUUCAUGAAAAUGUGGAGUCCAAGCUCAGGUGAGUUGGAAAGACACUGACUGAAACAGGUUUCUUUACUAAGGGGCUACAUUGUGAAUUUCAAUUUUUAAAUUUGAUGGGCAGCACUUCCUAAAGUUACUUGAUCACAGAACCUUUAGUCAAGGAUCAUUUUAACUUUGGGAAAUGAUGUUACACACAAGUAAUAUAUCAAGUACCAGAUAUUUGGUCAAAUUUGUGAUGGUGUUAUCUCUUCACAAAAGAUUACUUAGUGAUAGCGAUUUGUAGAAUAUUGGUUAUACAAGUAGAAAAGUUUGCAGAUGUCUGGAUAGAAGAUAUCCAAAACCUAGGUGGAAAAAUAAACAUUUAUAAUAUACUAACACAGAGGGCAUGGAGGUGUCAUGAUAGUGAAAACUAGAAGGAAAUGGUAAAUACAGAAGGAAUAAAAGUUGAGAAAAGGAUGGAGAGAGAGUUAAAAAAAAGACCAUAAUUGAUGCUUUUCUUUCCUGUUAAUGCAGCCAGAAUCCAGAUUUGGGACCAAAAAAAAGGAGAAAGCUCUAUGGAGAGCCCUGAGCCUGUGUCUUAGUGAAAAUGACAAGAGUGGAGGCCCCAGCUCUAGUCUUCACUCUUUUUCUUCCUACAUUUGUAUGAAAGUGAUCAAGAGUAAGCAAAAUGUGCAUUUCAUACAAUAUGGUUGCUUUUUUUUUUUUUUCCUAAGAAAAGAGCAAAUAGCCUCAGGAAAUCAGAUUCUUGUGACCUUUGUUACUCUUUAUUACUAAAGUAGUGUUCAUUCUCAGACUCUAAAGGACAUCUGAUUAGUAACACAUGGGUGACAUCAUUGAAAAAGCAUAAUCUGUGUGUCAUGAAAUGUUACUUGAAAAUAGUAGUGGGAAAAAGUUUUGUCAUUUGGGGAAGGAUGUCAAGAAAACAUCUCAGUCAGUUAUUUGUUGGAUUUAUUGGUGAAAAAAGCACACAUUUUUACUGAUUUGACUUUGGCUCAAUAUUGAACAAUUCGGGGCUACAAAACUGCACAUUGAGAUAUCGCUUAGCAUUUGAAAAUUAUGGUUUAUAUUUGACUAUGCUGCUAAAUGGCCUAUAAAGAAUUAUAUACAUUUGAUAUUUAAUAGGUUCAACAAAUAUACCCCCUGUUCCUGAGGAUGAUCCAUUUUAAGCAGAGCUGAGGGUGGCACAUUGCUCUUGAUGCAGAACCCAGGGGAGCACCUCUGAGCUGGCAGAGAAUCUCAGAAGCCUUCCGUUUUCUAUGACUUCAUCCUAAGAUUUAAUCUAGUUAAUCAAGGCAUCUUUUGGACUUGUAUAUCACUUCAAGGAGACAAUAGCCUUACAGAGCUUUCCACCAUACAGACUUAAUACAUGCUGCAGAGAAACUGCAGAACAAUUUAUUAUAUGUGAUAUCUUUAUUUUUAACAUUUUUUUUUGUCUUUUUAGGGCUGCACCCAUGGCAUAUGGAAAUUCCCAGGCAAGGGUUGAAUCAGAGGUGUAGCUGCCAGCCUAUUCUACAGCCACAGCCACAUGGGAUCCAAGUCACAUCUAUGACCUACGCUCACAGCAAUGCCGGAUCCUCAACCCACUGAGCGAGGCCAGGGAUCAAACCCACAUCCUCAUGGAUACUAGUCUGGUUCAUUACUGCUGAGCCAUGACAGGACCCAUGAUAUCUUUGAAAUAUCAAGAAGGUUGGGGAUUUGUAUUUAAGAAACUGAGGAUUGGUUCUUACAAUGAAUCCAUCAUCACUACUUGGAGGAAUCCCAUGUUACAAAGAAUGGAUCCUGCAGGUUUUUUCUUUGUGCUGAAAUCUGCCACGGGCAGGGGAGAAACAAGCUCUGGUCAACAUUCCAAUGAUGAUGGGCCUGGGAAACGGUCCCUCUGAAACUGGAUAAGAACCCAGUGAUUAACAGUACUUGAUGUUUUAAACAGUUAUGGUAAUUUAAAUGGCUGAUGUCAACAUUGCUACUAUCAGCAGCAACCUAAUGCUUCAAGUUUCGUUAAAAAUCAUGUAUUUGAAUUCACAUUUUCAUGUUGACUUGCUCAGCAAGUAGAGCACAGAAGUUACAGAUCCAGAUGGUGGAUGCCAUCAUGGCCUUGGAUGCACUGCCUGGAACCCCUUCAUAAAUGAAGAACUUAUUCUCUCGGCCACCAGGAUGCUGCUGGAAGAGGGCUCUUCCUUGUGGUUGUCUUAGCUCGAGACCACUGCCCUCCUUGGCGUAUAUAUCUCCUUCUAAUGACUGAUCGGCAUGGGAUGGAGGGACCUGGCUUUCUUGUCCUAACUCAGAACUAGGGAGUUGGAAGGGAUGCAAUUGGAAAGUUGGUGACAAUGACAUCUGGGGAAAAUAUGUGGAUAAAUCUCUACAAAUGGUCCCAGAGUAUAUGAGAGCUGUGUCUCUUGUGACCUCAGCAGAACUGGAUGAUAGGAUUUGUUUUGUUGAUAUGGGUCUCCCUUCUCCAGGUACCUCAUCUUGCCCAAGUGGCCAUGGUGGCAGGGAUCAAGGGCGCACAUGGGCUCAGCAAAAUAGAUGUCUGCUCACCGAGGCUAGAUGGCUGCAGCUCCUGCUGAAUGCUCCAUCUGCCAGCGCAGAGACCAGCGCAGAGCCUGCAAUGGGACACACUUCCCCAGGGGAUCGGCCAACCACGUGGUGGCAGGAUAAUUAAGCUGCAGCACUUCCAUCGAGGAAGGGGCUGCAUUUCAUUCUUGCUGGAAUAGAUUAUCACACUGGGUGUGGACUUGCUUCUCUUGCCUCCAAUGCUUCUGGAAAACCCACCAUUUGUGAACUCAUAGUCUGCCUUACCCACUGUCAUAGCAUCUGACACAUUAGCACUUCCCAGCAAGGAACAAAUUAUACUUAUAUGGAGCCAGGGGGUCCAUGCCCAUGGACUUCUCUGGUCUUAACUGUGUUCACCACCAUCAUGAAGCAGCUUGCUUGUAAAAUGUUGGAGUAGCCUUUGAUACAGUGAGUUAUGGUAUCAAUUAGGUGACAAUGCCACAUGGGGUGGGACAGUGUUCUCCCGGAGGCAAAAUAUGAUCUCACUUGGCAUCCAAUACACAGUGCUAUUCCUCCCAUAGUCACCCAUCUGGGAAUGAAGGGGUGAAAACAGGAGUGUCUUUGCUCAUUACAACCCCACAAUAUCCACUACUGAAAGUUAUACUUCCUGUCACUGCUACUUAAGGCUCUGCUGGUCUAGAGGCCUUAACUUCCAAAGGGAAGAAUGAUUUCUCAGGGGAACCCCAAAAUAGUUCUACUGAACUGGAAGUGAAUAUUGUCACUUGGUUUAGAAGGAUUUUUAAAAUUCCAAAUUUAUCUUCUUUUCUAGAAUUGUCUUCCAUCUCUUUGACUUCUAACCAAUGUUUAUUUUCUGUAGCUAUACUUAUAUUUACUUACAGAGAAAGAGAACAUAAGAGUAGCACACUCCUUCUUUGUCAGCUAUCAAGAGGAGAGGGACAUUAUUUUGUAACUCAAAGCAGUAGCAACAAAGCAGGAAAAGCUCAGGCUUUGAGCCAGAUGGGCAGCUGUGUUCAAAUCCCAGCUCCUUGAUCUACUAAAUUACUUAAUUUUUCUGAGACUUAGUUUUCUCAUCUGUCAAACAGGGAUAAUGAUACCUGUUAUAUAUCCAUGUGGUGAGUGUGAAAUAAUUAAAGCAGAAGCAAAGCACAUCUUGGACUCAGCCUAGUGCCUACUUGGUCAUCAGGAGGGACAGUGUUGGUUUACGCUUCCUGUCUUGCAAUCAUUAUCAUAAUGAUAUUAAUUAGGAUUUAUAACUCUGUUAAUGAUUAUAAUAAUUACUAAUAGCACACCAUUUCAAUCUCAGAAGUUAAGAUGAUGAAUUAGAUGUUCACUCUAAUCAUUGUCAAAUGUUGGUUUGCAUUUGCCACUCUUUUAUUGCUUAUUGUUGAGAAGAUUGCCAUAAAGUAGGUAGAAUUCAGAAGUAGUGUUUACCUAUGACUUGUAAACUCAGGUUUUGUUUUAUUUUAUUAUCAUUAUUAUUUUUUUGCUGCACCUGCGACAGAUCGAAGUUCCUGGGCCAGAGAUUGAAUCUGAGUUGCAGCUGCAACCUAUGCCACAGCUGUGGCAAUGCCAGUUCAUUAACUCAAUGGACCACAGUGGGAACUCCCUAAACUUAGAUUUUAAAUGAUUGCUGGAACUCCAAGUUUUAUUCUGAAUAAAAGAGAGCGUAGGUGUUGAAAUUUGACCAAUGAUGAAAACUGAUUACCUUAUUCCAAGGGUUGGCUUUAUUCAAGGGGAUGAUAAAACUGAUACCUUCCAUUUCAAUAGAGUCCUUGAAGAAAUCUUAUGAUAAGUCACAUUUAAACUUUAUGAUGUGAAAGGCUAAAAAAAUGUUCAGGAGAAUCAUUGCUGCCUCCCAUUUUUAAUCACUUUUUAAACUGGGAUUUCUUGUGCAUUUUUGCACACAAGGAAUUCUAGUGGGUAGGGUCCUCAGUGGCUUUCUUGGCAUGUUCACCAGAGGUGAGAAGUAGGCUCAUGCCCCUCCAUAGCCUCUGAGGAUGCGUUUCUUAUCCUUUCUUUGCUGGACAAUUUAGAGAAGAAUGAUCUGUCAGAGUAUUUAUAGAAGCCAUUAGCACGAUGAGUGAAGGCUUCGGAUAACUGAUGGCUCUUUAAAAAUAUGGCCUUAAGAAGAGGAAAGAGAAACUUGUAGGGUGUCUUCCAAAUAGCAGAUUGCUAUAUUUGGGUGGUCUGAGGAUUAUGACAAAUGUCAAGGACCACACACCGCACAAAAACAGCUCAUUAUAGCUGCACACGCAGAAUGCCAUGUUCAAGGUUGAGUGGCUGAUUUUGCUGCAAACACUAAUUUCCAGAUUAUACAAUUUGAAAUUUUUAAUUAGCCAUGAAUCCUUGUAGGGAUAACUUUGCUAUGCCUCUUUAUGUGUUGUAAAAAUAAGUCAGACUCUGCUUCAGCCACCCAAGACCUCCAAUAAAGGUUUCUGUGUGAUAGUGAUAGUUUCCUCUUCAAAUGCUAAUUUUGAAAAUUCAUAUUUCAGAAGAAUUAGUGGCUCAAUUCUGUGGUCAUUCUGCAUUUCUAAAUGUCAUUAAAAUUAAUGAAUUCUGAAAAUGAAAAGAAUAAAGCUGGUCUUUUCAGUUUGACUGAAAUGUUCCUAUUGAAUAACAUCAGAUCCAGUAAAUCACUUAAAUCUGUUGGUGAUACACACCUUUUAAAUGACUGUUGGAUUCAUGCACAAUACUUUUAUUGUUGAGGAUGUGGUGUGAACAGUAUGGAGGACAAAAUAAUAAAGAUUCAUUGAGUGUCCUGAGCUAUUUAGACUCAAUAUGCAUCAUAUUGAGAGAAUGCAAAAAUUCAAUGAAAUGCCAAAACCACCAUCGUUGGUAAUGGAGGCAUUCCAGAAAAGAUUGCAUUCUUAGGGAUGUCGCCAAAAGAUAUUUUAGUGUGUGUUUGUACACAAAAAUAUGAAUAAAUAUAUAUGGAAAAAUAGAAAGCAUAUACUAUAUAUGGAUAUAUAUUUAUAUUUGUAUAUAUAUAUUUAUAUUUGUGUGUAUAUAUAUAUAUUUAGAAUGUUACAACGGACCAGAUAAUAUAAUUCUAUGUAUUAAAUGCAGGGUUACAGAUGGACUA